rnacentral:rRNA from 1 species
UACGGAGGGUGCAAGCGUUAUCCGGAUUCACUGGGUUUAAAGGGUGCGUAGGUGGGUUGGUAAGUCAGUGGUGAAAUCUCCGAGCUUAACUUGGAAACUGCCAUUGAUACUAUCAGUCUUGAAUACCGUGGAGAUGAGCGGAAUAUGUCAUGUAGCUGUGAAAUGCUUAGAUAUGACAUAGAACACCAAUUGCGAAGGCAGCUCGUUACACGAAUAUUGACACUCAGGCACGAAAGCUAGGGGAGCGAACGGG